UAAACACAACAGCAGCUGAAGUGAGGAGAGAGGUGAGAGCUUUCCACCAUUGUUACUAUUCACUUCAAACUUCCCAAGCUCAUAUCUUGAGCUACGGAGCUCCGAUCGCCGCACCGUUUGCGGCUACGUGUUCCUUGCGAAGAGCUCUACAAAACCCACCCAAGAAACCCUCAAGGUUUGCUCUAAUCCUUGCUUAGCUUUGGAUUUGUGUUGUCAAAUCUGUUGGGAAAGUUUGAUUAUUGUGGCUUUGGGAGCUUUUGGAACUUAUUUGUGCUUGUUGGAGUGGAUUUGAAAGCUUGGAUUGUGGUUGGAAGCUUGUUGGUGCUCAUUUUGAGUUUUGGUGCAUAAAGGGAAUC